GAUGAACGCUGGCGGCGUGCUUAAUACAUGCAAGUCGAGCGAACAGACCAGGCUCUUGCUCCUCUGACGAUAGGGGCGCACGGGAGAGUAACAUGUGGAUACCCUACCUAUAAGACUGGGAUAACUUCGAGAAACCGGAGCUAACACCGGAUAAUAUAUUGAACCGCAUGGUUCAAUAGUGAAAGACGGUUUUGCUGUCACUUAUAGAUGGAUCCGCGCCGCAGUAGCUAGUUGGUAAGGUAACGGCUUACCAAGGCAACGAUGCGUAGCCGACGUGAGAGGGUGAUCGGCCACACUGGAAGUGAGACGCGGUCCAGAGGCCUACGGGAGGGAGCAGUAGGGAAUCGUCCGCAAUGGGCGGAAAUCUGACGGAACAACGCCAAGUGAGUGAUGAAGGUCUUCGGAUCGGAAAACUCUGUUAUUGGGGAAGAACAAAUUUGUAAGUAAAUAUGCACGUCUUGACGGUACCUGAUCAGGAAGCCACGGCUAACUACGUG
rnacentral:rRNA from 1 species